UGUUACUAAUUCCAGACUUACUUCCUGUACUAACCUACAUAGCUUGGUAACAAAAAAAACCCACCACUGGUAUUCAUUGGCUGCUCACGAAUAACAUGUACUUUGACCCACCCUCAAACACUACAGUUAUAGUUGCGUCCUGAAAGAAAGGGUCUCGAAGACGUUGUUUUCUGAGUUACAAAAGAAAAACCACUUUGCAUGGACUCCCAAAGGAUGAGGAUGUAAAGUGUCAAUCGUUACAAUUCAUUUUAAAACAAUACCAUAGCAGUUCAACUCUUCGACCAUCAUUUGUGUCCCGUCAUUUCACUGACAUCUGCUUCUCAAAUCUAGCUGAAGUCAAUGCGGGAUUUGCGAAACUAUUAUUCAUUAAAGAUGGGGCUGUACCCACUUUAUUUGGACCAUCUUGCACCUCUAUAGAGGCACCUACAUCACAUAUUAAGAGCCAGGGGGCUUUACCGGCGACAAUAUGGUGACUUGGGGUCUCUGCUCAAGCGUCUGCUCUGGACCUAUCAGCUGAUCAACAAUGAAGUCAAUACCAUCCUACAAGUCACCAUACAGUGCAUCUGGAAAGUACUUUUUCCACAUUUUGUUAUGUUACAGCCUUAUUCCAAAAUGGAUUAAAUGCAUUAUUUUCCUUAAAAUUCUACAAACAAUAACCUAUAAUGACAACAUGAAAGAAGUUUGUUUGAAAUCUUUGAAAAUUUAUUAAAAAUAAAAAACUAAAAAGCACAUGUA